rnacentral:rRNA from 1 species
CAGCAGCCACGGGAAUACGUAGGGUGCAAGCGUUAAUCGGAAUUACUGGGCGUAAAGCGUGCGCAGGCGGUUAUAUAAGACAGAUGUGAAAUCCCCGGGCUCAACCUGGGAACUGCAUUUGUGACUGUAUAGCUAGAGUACGGCAGAGGGGGAUGGAAUUCCGCGUGUAGCAGUGAAAUGCGUAGAUAUGCGGAGGAACACCGAUGGCGAAGGCAAUCCCCUGGGCCUGUACUGACGCUCAUGCACGAAAGCGUGGGGAGCAAACAGGAUUAGAUACCCCGGUAGUUUCCUGUCUCUUAUA